rnacentral:rRNA from 1 species
UACGAAGGGGGCUAGCGUUGCUCGGAAUCACUGGGCGUAAAGGGUGCGUAGGCGGGGCUUUAAGUCAGGGGUGAAAUCCUGGAGCUCAACUCCAGAACUGCCUUUGAUACUGAAGAUCUUGAGUUCGGGAGAGGUGAGUGGAACUGCGAGUGUAGAGGUGAAAUUCGUAGAUAUUCGGAAGAACACCAGUGGCGAAGGCGGCUCACUGGCCCGGUACUGACGCUCAGGUGCGAAAGCGUGGGGAGCAAACAGG